rnacentral:rRNA from 1 species
UACGUAGGGUCCGAGCGUUGUCCGGAAUUAUUGGGCGUAAAGGGCUCGUAGGCGGUUUGUCGCGUCGGGAGUGAAAACACGGGGCUUAACCCCGUGCCUGCUUCCGAUACGGGCAGACUAGAGGUAUGCAGGGGAGAACGGAAUUCCUGGUGUAGCGGUGAAAUGCGCAGAUAUCAGGAGGAACACCGGUGGCGAAGGCGGUUCUCUGGGCCUGUACUGACGCUGAGGAACGAAAGCGUGGGGAGCGAACAGG